rnacentral:lncRNA from 1 species
CUGGCUAAAGAAGAAAAGGGAAGAAAUUCAGCUAAAGGUUAUGUGCAAGAACAUGCUGAGUCCCAAACCGGAAUCAAGGAACCUACCAUUGAGUCCCAAACCGGAAUCAAGGAACCUGCAAAUGACUCCCAAACAGGAAUCCAGGAACUUACCGUUUCUUCUCUUCCCCCAAAAGCUUAACCUAAAGUAUUUUUAAAGUAAAUGCGCAAUUUACACUAGUUUGUUAUUUGAAUUGAGCAGGUCGAUAUAUAUGGUUGAUCAAGAUGUGUUAUACAUGGAAUAUUCUAUACGUUGGGACGUAAAAUAUUAUUACUGAAUUGGCUUGAGUUCAUAUGAUUAAUGAACUAGUCGCUUUUAAUCAUU